GCAUCUGUCUGGCAGAUAUGGAGACGGAAAGCACAAGAGGAUUGUGUUAGGAGUCUUAAGGGCUGGAUGUGACACUCCUUGAAAGGGAAGCUGGGGAAUGAGUAUGUAGGUGUGUGUCCAGGAUGUAGGGAAAAUGGGUUUGGUGGGGACAGCACUUCCUGGAAUAACGUUGCUUUGGAUUUAACAACAGUUGGGCAAAGGAGGUCGGUAUACAGAUACAGGACAAGAAGAGUGGUGUCAAAGGGAGGCUAAAUCAUUGGUUCUGGCUUCAUCUAAGGAAUUCUUAUGAGAAAUCGAGGGAGAGACUGUCCUGGGAAGUCUGAUGAAACAUAGCCCUCACAGAGAAACUUCCCUCCUGGUUAACUGGACCCAGGCAUGAGUCUUCGUUGAAACCGUGGGAGGAAGAAGAGUUUUACCAAUCACCAGUGCUGAAGAAAUCUCUCCUUUCUGGGCAGGAUGAGGGAAUCACUAAAUGACGAGUAAGUGCUGAGACUCCACAAAAUGACAUGUCAUAAAUUGGUAUAUAUUUUUGGGUCUUUCAAUUUUCUUCUUCUUCUUUUUUUUUUUUUUUUUGAGAUGGAGUCUCACUCUGUCGCCCAGUAUGGAAUGCAGUGGCACGAUCUCUGCUCACUGCAACCUCCUGGGUUCAAGCGAUUGUCCUGCCUCAGCCUCCUGAGUAACUGGGACUACAGGCGAUCGCCAUCAUGCCUGACUAAUUUUUGUAUUUUUAGUAGAGACAGGGUUUCACCAUGUUGGCCAGGCUGGUUUCGAGCUCCUGACCUCAACUGAUCUGCCCAACUCGGCCUCCCAAAGUGCUGGGAUUACAGGCAUGAGCCACCGUGCCGGCCCAAUUUUCUUCUUAAAUAGAGAUUGAGAACUAGCUAAUCUAAAGUAGCCAUUACCAUUUUGCCUCCAUACACUCUCUAUUUCUUUCACAGCAUUAUCACAAUCCAUAAUUAUUACCUUGUUUAUUUAUUUGUUUACUUUAUUUUUUGUCUCCCCAGCCAGAAUGAAAGUUCUAUGUCUACCCAGUGCCAAGUUCACCAUCUCUGUAACUAUUUGUUGGAUGAAUAUGUGAAUGAGUAGAAAAUAAAUCAACAUACUUUUUCAUCAAGACAGUAAAGUGGGCAGUGUUAAACUCUUAGGGUGACACAGACGAUUGCUUUAAAGAAAAAAUCAUAAAGAGUGAAAAAAUAGAAGACUUGGCUUAUGGUGUGGUGGCAUUUGACCAACUGUUCUUGUUGAGGUAGUGAUUUUUGAGGCAUCUGGUUUACAAACACCUCAAGGGUAUAGCCCAAACUUGGCAUCUUCUGGUAGUGGCAGAACACCCAGUAUUCAGGGCAUUGUUAAGUAUGACAAAGGGAGAGUCAAUAAAUCUCAAAUGCAUUCAGAGACCUGGCUAAGAUGCUAAAGCAGCCAAUCUGUGCCUUCCCAGUGGCUUCAAUCACAAUCCCCACUUGAUCAUUGUUUGACUCUCCUUUAACCCACUAUGUCCAUGGAAUUCCUUUGGUCAGUGACACCCAGAGUGGGCAAAAUCCACCUUGAAAAAAAAAAACAACUGCAGAGAAGAUAUUGAACAGCAUGAUUUUGUAAAAAGACAACUAAGUUCAGUACAAGGGCUGCACUGGCUUGCAUCUCUUUUUGUAUUCUCUGGACAAUGCAGCUUGCAGAUCACAUUCUGUUCCCAGGCUGUUGAAAAUCAAGUAAGAGCCGGUGAACUCAUCUCAGUUUUUCCUCUUCAUCUCUAACUGCUGCAAGUGAAAUUCAGCUUGUUCUUUCUAAUCAUUAGAAAUUAUUGUAAAACUAAAUUAUUGCUUGUCCAAUUCUGCAGUGUUUUCAUCUGAUAUUUAAUAUACUCCUGAGGAUAAGGAGCCUGGUUGAUAAGCAUUGCAGUUUACCAGAAACUCUGCAGAAGACUUCAGACUGGAAAAGCCAGCCAGAGUCCAGGAGGGGAGGAGGAGGAUGCAGAGGAGCCCUGGCCAAGAUGAACGGAGAUGAACUGACACUUCAGGAGACUGUGUUCUCUAAAACCAGCACUGCUGUUGGGGUACUUUACCUCUUAGAGUUAAUUAGAUGCUUAAAAGUGAAACCAUCACUCUGCCUUCAGCAGAUUUGAGGGCUGCCUCAUUUAGCUUUUCAACCUUGCAUCAGCUUGCUGCUCUUGCCUUCCAUCUGAAGUCAAGACAGUGGGGAGGGGAAAUACAUAUACAGAAGCCUUGAUAUCCAGGAAAGUGCUUCCAUCAACCUCAUUUAUCACAUGACAUUUCCUGGGAUUAUCAGUCUAGUUAAACUGAUUCCUUGACCAUGACUUACCUUGAUUCUUCUGAAAUCCACAUUUGUAACCAGCUUGGAUAAAUCAGUCACAAAUCUUGGUAGGCUAUCUGGUUAACCUACUCUAGAAAAUGAUUAUUUUAGAGAGGAGUGAUAAAAACUAUCCCUUGCAAGGAGAAGAUGAACAUAAAGUAGCUUAAAAGAGACUCAAAAGGCUUGUAGUAAGAGACGAAAGGAAAUACUUUUUGAAAGUCAGGGUUUCUAAAUAUCUAUGCUGGAAAGGGCUUAUGAGAAAAGAACUGGUAUUUCCUUUAAAAAUAAGAUAGACAUGGCUACAUCUCUAUGUGUUCAACAGCUUUUCACCGCUUGGGGUCUUAUUCCUCUUUGAGAACCUGUUGGAAGAAAUGAAGUUCUUCUGAGAAAAGAGAUGUCAGAUUUCCAUACAUGGAGUUAAGAAGCCCUGCCCUGAUUUAAGAUUGUGAAUAGUUCACAGUUAGGGAAGACCAAUGCAGUCAGGAAAAUGAAGGUGGUGAGGAAUGAGCUGAGGAAAAUAUUCGAUUGACAAACUCAGUAUUAUGUGUACUAUAUGUGUGUUUAUGUACGCCCUUUUCUGUUGGACUCACUCGUGGCACAUAGCGGCCAUUCAGUAAAGACUUGCUGGAGGAAGGAAUGAAAGCCUGAUUGUUGGGUGACUCCUAGAAAGAGGCACCCUCUAUACCAGGUUUAGAAAGACGUGAUCUAUGCCAGAGAGAGGAGUGUGAUGUCGUGGCAAGAGAAUUUGCUAUUGCUGCUGAACUUGGCUCUCUGGGGAGUUUUAGGAUACAUUGCAGCUCCAAGAUGGAAUUUCAGCCUGUGCCUCCACAGUCCCUUUAUGGGGAACUUGGGCUGGGCCUUGAUUAUGUUGUGAGACUCUCAUGGGAACACUUCUGUGGGGAACCAUGUUUUCCUCCCACAGCGUUGCUAAUUCAGAAAAUUAAAGGGACCCCCUGCCUACCUCUCAUGUUAGUUUAAAGAGAAGCUGGAUUGCUCUAUGGAAAUCCUUUUGUAGCAGAAAUCAGGACAGCUGUUUGUAAAUAGUAACCUGUGAGAAAAUACUCAAGCUCUCAAUAGGCAGAGGGAAAAGUCAGCCUUAGAGUAUAUCCUACAAGCUGUUCAAAUACUUACCCCAUGAUAAAUAAUAGCCUUCUUAAUCCUAUAAUAUUCUCUAUCAUUGUCUUUUCCCAGUGUGCCAAGAUGUGGUGUUUUACUUCGAAUCAGCUAAUGCAUGAUGCUAAUUAGCACAUUAAUUCUGUUGACUCUGUUCAUAAUAAUUAGUGUAUUGGUGGGCUCUUAGCAUAUCAAAAUGGUAUUUUUAUUCCUGCCUAAAUGUUUACUGUCAGAUAGUAGCUAGUUACUAGAGUUUGACAAUAGGAAAUGUGAUACAGAGAAUCAGACAUUCUGUGAGAAGCAACAUAUCCCCACGCAGAUUGCGUGGAAAGAGGAUGGAAAAGAAAUUCCAAACAAUGAAUGUGUGACUUAACUUGUGACCAAGUACAGUUCAACUUCUGUUGAGCAAGGGAUGCUUGUAUUAUUAUUAAUUUCACCUCUGAGUGAUGACAACAUUCUUGGCGCCAUAGGAAGUCAUAGGACAAUGUGCUUUUACACAUCUGCCAUCAUUUUCAUGAAAUCCUAACUAAUUGCUUGACUGCUGCUGAGGCAUCAGCACUUGCACUCGAUGUGGAAUUUGUCCAGCUUGGCUGUAAUUGUAUUAUUCAGUUACAUUUUAAAAAAUGAGUGUAAAUGAGGUCGAUCUGCUAAUUUCAGUAAAUUGUCAUGAAGUGGAAUGAUAGGGGAUGAUUGCUCUUUUGGAUGACACAUUGUUUAAAUGAGAACCUAAUGAUACCUGGACAAACUUCUGGAGAAAUUACCAAAUUGCUAACAUGCCAUGUGAAAUCCUUGAACACUAUUAAGAUAAUUACAGGAGAUUGAUGUGUUUGCCUUAGUUUAAAAUCUUAAUUAGCAUUGACACCAAAAGCAACAUCCCUAUGUUAAAAACACAAUGUGAAUACUAUUUUAUUAUUACCAUGGAACCUUGACCUUUCUUUCCUUCACCUAUAGCUCAAUCCUUGUCUUCCUCCAGUCCCAGGGCUCCUUAUCACAACCAUCAUUUUGAUUUUACACUGGAUUUACAUGAUACCUUUUACUGAAGUGCUUAAAUCUAGGAAAGAAUAAAUUUCUAUUGACUAGGAGUCAGAAACUUAGGGUAGAAUGAUGGAGCAUUGUUUUAUAACAGGAGCAGUUUCCAGCUUGGAUUCAAAAUACUGAUUAAAAAAAUUUGUUUUCUAUUAUGAUUGGAUCUGUACUUUCUAACGCCAAAUAUUUUAAUCCAGAUACUUUUUAUCUUGAUCCCACGCUUGCCCUUUAACCUUUACCAGAAAUUCAGAGAAACAGAGUACAUAUUUCGCCACACAAUGGUCAUCCUCACUGAAUACUUUUAUCCAGAGGUCUACAAACUAUGACCCUCCAGUCAAAUCCUACCUUGCCCUUGUUUUUGUAAAUAAAGUUUUAUUGGAACAUAACCAUGCUCAUUUGUUUAUAUAUUGUCUAUGGCUGCUUUCACACUACAAAGGCAGACUUAAGUAGUGCAACUAAGACCAUAUGUCCCAUAAGGCCCCAAAUAUUUGCUAUCUGGGCUUUUCCCAGAAAAAGUUUGCUGACCCCUGAUCUAGACUUUUAGAAACCAAGACACAAAAGAUUCUUAACAAAGAAAUAGUUUCCACAUUUGUUAAACUCUUCCAAAUAACUUUAAUACUUAACAUAAAAAUGUCAAGAAAGUAUUGUGAAAUAGUACACUGAUUUCUUUCCUAUGUUUCAAGGGAUAGUUAGACAGUAAGUCAUGGCACCAGUGAAUUGAAAAUCCAUUGUCACUGACAGAAUAUCUCUGCCGUCAGCUAAGCCUCCCACAGAAUCCAUGAUAUGGUCUGAGGAGAAAGCUGGUGUGAACGUACGGAGAGUCUCUAUAUAUACAGCAGAUCCUCUAAUAAUAUUGUCUCAUUCACUAUUGUUUAGUUUUUUUUUUUUUUUUUCCCUGAGAUGGAGUCUCUCUCAGUCUCCCAGGCUGGAGUGCAGUGGUGCGAUCUCGGCUCACUGCAAGCUCCGCCUCCCGGGUUCACACCAUUCUCCUGCCUCAGCCUCCCGAGUAGCUGGGACUACAGGCGCCCGCCACCACGCCCAGCUAAUUUUUUUGUAUUUUUAGUAGAGACGGGGUUUCACCGUGUUAGCCAGGAUGGUCUCGAUCUCCUGACUUUGUGAUCCACCUGCCUCAGCCUCCCAAAGUGCUGGGAUUACAGACAUGAGCCACCACACCCGGCCUGCUUAGUUUUAAUGAGAAUAAAAUCCUUUCCAGGCCAGGGCUACUGUUUAUGUGAAGUGUGCACACACUCCCCAUGUCUGUGUGGGUUUUCUCCAGGUAUUCCAAUUUCCUCCCACACCCCAAAGAUGUGCAGAUCAGGUUUCUUGGUGUGUCUAGAUGGUGCCAGUUCAAGUGAGUGUGGUGGUAUGUGUGAUUGUGUCCCAUGUUGGGGUGACGUCCUGUUCAGGGUUGGCUCCCACCUUGUGCCCUGAGCUUCUGGAAUAGGCUGUGGCCACCUGUGACCUUGAACUGGAAUAAUUGGGCAAAUAAUUCUCUUGUUUUUAUUAACCUACCUUAAAUGUAUGUAUAGCUCAUAUUUGUUUCCAUAUUUAACAUUAGAAGCAUUUUGGUCCUUAUGCAAAAGUUUGGUUGUUUUUGUGACCAGAAAUAUGCUAUAGAAACUCAACUCCUAUUUAUAUCAACUAGCCUAUGGUAAAAUUGGUUUCAUUAUACAUUGUUUGUAUUUCAAGUUGUAGUUUUCAAGACCCUAUCUGGGAUGCUAAGUGAGGACUUUGCGUACUUUUUCCAUAGGGUUAAUUUCAGAAGGCCAUCUGAUCAUUUGAAAUCUUUACUAGUUCUUAGAAUCUCCACAGCUAUCUCUUGAAUAAACCUUCUUAAAUUUACCUGCUUCCCAAGCAGAUGGUAUAUCGAAAGAUUCUUCUUCAGUAGUGUAAUAUUGUGAAAUAUGUAUUUGGUCUUAUCUGUUUCCUGGCACACAGCUCCUAAAACUCUUGGAAUUUCCAGAGUGACAAGUGUCUUUUGUAUGCUGAUGAGAUGACUGGUGACUGUCAAUCCCUAGAUAGCUUCAGGAUGAGGGCUGGUCACCAGAAAGAUCAAUAAAUAAUUAGAGGGUUGGACUUUCAGCUCCACCUUCUCACCUUCAGGUAGGAGACAGGGGCUGAAAAGAUUGAGAUGAUCACCAAUGGCCAGUGAUGUAAUAAAUCAAGCCUAUGUAAUGAAACCUCCAUACAAAGCCAGAGAGGAGAGGGUUUGGAUGAGCUUCCAGGUAGCUGGAAGGUGGUCAAGGCACAUGUGGAGCUGAGGGGAGGGUGUGUGCCCAGAGAGGGCAUGGAAGCUCUGCACUCCUUCCUACCUCUCACCCUAUGCAUCUUUGCCACACAGCUGCUCCUUUGUAAUAUCCUUUAAAGUGUCUCCCUGAGUUCUGUGAGCUGCUUUAGCAAAUUAACUGAACUGAGGAGGGGACUGGGGGAACCCUGAUUUAUAAUUGGUCAGUCAGAAGCAUAGGACACAACCUGGGAGCUGUGACUGGCAUCUGAAGUAGCAGGCAGUCUUGUGGGACUGAGCCCUUAACCUGUGGAUCUGAUGCUAUCUCCAGGUAGAGUAUCAGAACUGAGUUAAAUUGUAGGACAUCCAGCUGGUGUGCAUUGGAGAAUUGAUUACUUGUUGUGUGGGGGAAAAGCCUCCAAACAUUUGGUGUCAAAACUGUUGUAUUGAGUGUGUGAUGGUAGAAAAACACCUUGAUUUUUUUCCUACCUAUCAGAGGCGGUAUUCCCCUCAAAAGUCUGUAGAACACCAGACCAGAGAGAUGCUCCUGUAACUGAGAACUGCUUGAGAAGCUCUGCAAACUAAGGCCCCCUCUUUGAUAUGAAUAAUUCAGAUGAUUUUAUUAGAAGAUCUGAAAAGUCCACUUAUAUAUCUUGUUUAACUUUAUAAGAUCAUAAAUUUCUUUUAAAAAGUAACACCCAUUAAUUUACUAUGGAAAGAGAGUUGAAGAAAUAUAGUUUAAAGGAACAUAGCUCCCCCUCUCCCAUCCCUUCUCUUAUCACAAAGGCUGAGGAGAAGCUCAAAGAGAAAUUAUUGUUCACUUGUUCGUUUUUCCAUCCUUUCAAUAGAAAAUGUCUCUAAACUCCUUUGAUACUCUGUGUCUAAUUUUAUGGCUGGUCAUAAGAUAAUAAGCUGCUAGACCUACACUGAGAUCCACUUAGCACACUAACACUUCCUGAUUGAAGAAGACCUCUUUUGAAAAUCUCUUGAAGUCUUUGCAGAGUUCUCUAAACAUGACCAGGAGGCCAAUCAUGAGGAGGAGUGAGAUGUUUUGAGGGAAAAUAGUCAAUAUACGUAAACUAAGUUCAAUACCAAUUCUUUGACUUGAAUAACGUUUUAUCAUCCCAGCAUUUUUGUCAGGUUAUCGCCGACCAGACUUCAUCUGGAAGCUCACGAAUGGCUUUGCAGCAUUGGUAAAGUCAGGUUCUCGUGGACUAACAACACUGUUUCUUGAUGUGAUUGUCCUCUGAAACUUCUCCUGAUUAUGCCUCGAGUUUUGAGUUGCCUUCUUUCUCUCACAUGAUCUCAUUCUUUUCAGGAUCAAGAUAUUUUAACUUCUGUGUUUAGCGCCUUUAAUAGAUUGAGCUAAGAAGUCUAAGCAAUCUUCAGGGCUAAGAAACAAGCUGCACUUGCCAGAGUUGGAUGUUCACACCUUGGUGAUGGCUGAUAUUAAACAGAAUUCUUAAUGAACAAAUCGGCCUUGAAAAGGGAACAUGGUGAAGCAAGACAAAAGAAUUACAAACUUUGACUGAAACUUUCUCCUACCAGGAAUACAGGGACCGCUCACCAGGUUGUGAUGAGAAGGAUCAUCUGAAAUGCUCCAUUGCUCUCAGAAGUUGAGGUAACUUCAUUGGGCCCAAACUGAUAAACUAGGAAUGGCUCAGAAAAUAGCCCCUUAGAAGAACUGUAUGAAGCUUGGAUCCAUUUUUCUGGUGAGUAAUUUGAUCAGGUUUGUAUCUGAUAAAGACCUCCACCCCAACUUUAGUGUGAGCAGAGAAAUGAAACUGGGGUGACAAUCCAGACAAAAACUUCACCAGGCUUGAACUUGGGCAGUGGUCCUGAAAAUAGAGAGGAGACCCUGCAGAGGUAGCUCCAACUCUACUUUGUGACUUACACAAUGAGAGAGGAACUUUCUACCAGCUUGGAGAAUUAACUUAUCCUUUAUACCUCUAUUAGAUCUUCUCCUUUAGAACAUUUUGUGAAUAUCCCUAAUUAAGCAUCUACUUUUGACCAUCUAAAGGGCUUUGCCCCCAUUCAGGCUCUGGAAAAAUGCUGACCUAUAGCAGCACUAUGCUUUCUAUGUAAUAUCCCCUUACAGGAGCUUAAUAACAGUUUGUGAUUACUGAGUAAAAGUGUGAGUGCAGAAUUUAUAAAGUUCUUAGUGGCACCACUUUUUUUUAACUCAGUGAUCUUGGGUAAGUCACUUCAAUUUGCUUAAACCCCAGUUCUUCUUCUGUAGAAUGGGGACACUUGGAUACAGAUGAUUAUUCCAUAAGGCCUGCAGGCCAAAUCUAGUCCACUGCCUCUUUCUAUAAAUAAAGUUUUAUUGGAACACAGACAUGCUCAUUAGUGUAUAUAUUGAGUACUGCGGUUUUUGCCACACAAUGCCAGAGUUGACCAGUUCCUACAGAGGUUGCAUGGUCUGUAAUGCCUAACUGGUUCUUCACGUGAAAAAUGUACCAACCACUGCCGUAAUGGAAUCCUCUUGUCUUGUUACCUAAACUGUUUUGUAGUCUACAGAGUACCAUCCCAUAAGACAAUACUAUUAUUUAAUUGUGUAAAACACUUUGUACUCUAUAGAGUAUAUAUGAUAAGGCAGUAUGGCUCUUGGAUGGUCUGUAAACAUAUGAAAAUGGCUCAAAAUAGAAUUUAGUUGAUGGAGGGAGUAGAACUGGUAAUACUCACAGUGUCAAGGUUUCAUUGCAUAGUCCCUGAAAAGCAUUCACAGGGAUUGACGUCAUGUAAGGGUUGUCUGUAAUUUCACUGCAAGAGAGAGGGACAAAAACACUUAAUGAAAAAAUGCUUUCCUUCUGCAGCAGGGGUCUUGCUGCGCAUAUGCACUUAAAUAACAGGACACAAUAUAGCUUAAUCUUAUUUCUUUUUAAGUUUCACUGACCCUUCUUAACCGCUAGUGGCUCAGAGGUCUGGUGAGGUGGUGAGAGCUGUCCUAGAUGACAUGCACCUGGAGCCCAAAUGUGGGGUAAGUGAGAGCUUUAGGUGUGGGUGGAGGUCCCUGACUUAAUCCUCAUCUUGGGGUAGGCAGAUGGAUUUGAGAGGCUUCUCCCGAAUCUGCAACACUUUGUCCACAACAACUAGAGUUUUCUACAUGCAUGGACCUUUAAGAAGGUCAGGAUAAAAGGAUUAAAGGAUUUCAUUUAAUGAGUAUUUCUAAAAUGUCCUUCACUUGCCAAACUUCGCCAGGCUCCUGGAGAACCUUUCUACGCCAUUCUAGUUUCUGGAAGAUUGCUUACAUUUUGAACUGAGCUCUUUUGCAACAAAGAAGUAUGAUCAAUUUUUUUUUCUAGCAAAACCCCAAGAGUUUGAAGCUUAUCAUUCUACAUUUUGCUGACUCUUUAAUGCAAACUCAACUUGUAAUUCUCUCUGCCUUACGUCCUUUCAUUCCUAUACAAUUAGUAAGACAACUGACCCAUGUCACCAGCUUUGAAAAAGGGCACAUGGGUGCCAAUCAAAGGUCACAGGCAGUAAUUUGAGUACCACUUCUGACUGUUCCUUGAGACACUGCUCAGACAAAAUCACUUGAGGUUUCUAUUCCUCAGUUUCCUCAUUCAUAAAUGGAAAAGCAGUAACUUUGUUUUACACCUUAUAAGGUGGCUGAGAGGAGCAAAUGUCAUGUGUGGGAAAGUGUUUAAAAAACUAUUAAAACUCUAUGAAAAAUAAGGUAUCAUAGUUAUCAUCAAAUAUUCCUUCUAUUCAACCAUUCCCAUUGGCAAAGAAACAUUGCAUAAUUUCUUCCAUUUAAAAACAAAAACACACAAACAAAAUCUUUUCUCCUGACUCAAUAUCUUGCAAUUACUGAGCUAUUUUCUGCUCCUUUUAAUAGUAAAACCUCUCAAAAGAGUUAAUUAUGGUAACUCUUUCUAAUUCUGUCUACCCAAGUCUCUCUUGAGCCCACUCCAACCAGCACUCCACUGGAACUGUUCUUGGCAGAGUCACCAACAAACCACAUUGCUAAAGCCAGUGGUUAUUUCUCAGUCCUUGCCUUACUUCAUGCCAGUGUAGUCACACCUGAUCAUUGCUUACUCCUUGAAACAAUUGCUUUACUUAUCUUCAACCUACCCUCAUGACUGUAUUCUAGUUCUUGUCAGUGACAAACAAAAUAUUGUCAAACAUGGCAUGUGUGCAUACUUACAGUAUAAAGAAUAUAUCAGUGGAAUAAACUUUGGUCAGGUCAGGGAACAUUUUAAGUCCAGUGUUGAAAAUGCCACUAAAUUAAUGAAAAAAAGAGAAAAAAAAGCAUAGAAUUUAGGUAAAAAAAUCAACACAUAGGAAGGAGAAUAAUGUAAUAGCUGAAAGCAUGGGUUCUGAAGACAACCUGUAGUCAAACUCCCAACACCUUCCCUAAAUAUCUGAGUAACUAUGGGCAAGUUCUGAUGGUUGGAUGAGAUGAUAUUCCCUCAAGGCAUAAUAAUUUAAUCCAGUCCACUGGUGUCAAUACAUCUGCUCGGCUUAGAAUGCUCUGGAGAUUGUUUUAACCAAGUGGGUUUACUAGAAAUAUAAAUUCAGUUUUCGUGUGUGUGUGUGUGUGAUUUUCUCGUUUAAUUGGAAAAAAUUAUGUGUUUGUUAGUGAAGGGCUAAGAAGAAGAUGGGACAGGAAGAUAUGAUGACUUUAAGCCAGCUUCCUCUUUCAAGCUCUACAUGAUAUUAUGCUGUUAUUUUGCCAAGAAUAUCUUUCCUACAGCAGUGACCUGAGAGUACCAUUAUAACAGUACCAUUUAAAAAAAUAUGUCCAGAGAGCCGGGCACAGGGGCUCACGCCUAUAAUCCUAACACUUUGGGAGGCCAAGGCAGGUGGAUCACUUGAGUCCAGGAAUUCAAGACUAGCCUAACAUGGCGAAACCCUGUCUCUACUAAAAAUACAAAAAUUAGCUGCAUGUGUUGGCAUGCGCCUGUAAUCCCAGCUACUUGGGAGGCUGAGGCAUGAGAAUCACUUGAACCUGGGAGGUGGAGGUUGCAGUGAGCCGAGAUCAUGCCACUGCACUCCAGCCUGGGUGACAGAGGGCGACUCUGUCUCAAAAAAAGACAGUGUCCAGAAAAGGAAGGAAACCAAUCAAAGACAAAGUCUUUACCUUCUGUAGUUUAUAUCAUCUACAGAAAAAUGUUAAGAUUAAAAGACAUGCAUAAAACACCAUGAAUACAAGAAUUCUCAGGCUCCUGAUGCCUCCCAGAUUUAGUUGUUUUAACAUUUGUUGCAGCUACUUGAAUGUAAUUAGAAUUUUUUUUUUUUUGAGAAUUUGGCAUAGCAUAGAGUGAGAUCUAGACACUACUCAGUAAAGCUCUAGAGAAGGUCUUCUGGUAGAAAAACUAUAUCCAUUGAUACUCCUUCUGAGGCAAAUUCAGACUUGACUCCUUCUAGAGAAGAAGGCAUAGGAUUUGAAGAGGCAGCAGGAGCCAGAGGUCUCAAAAUCAGCAAAUGGGAGGGACAUUCCAGAUAACAAAGGAGAGAGGUGAGAUUCCAUAAGGUAUAUUUGAAAUACAGUAAACGAACUAGUUCAAUUGCAAUAGGUGCUCAUGAAGAACAGUAGGAGGGAAAAAGGUCCAAGAGUCAAGUGGGGUCCAUAUACUUGGAUCAAGAUCUUUCUAUUCUUCAAAAAUCUCAAACAAGUCCCUUAAAACCAUGCUGUGGGUCUUCUUUCUGAUGUCUUCUCUAAUUACCUGAACCCCCAAACACUGUAUAUGUCUCUCCUUCGUCACUUUCCAUUAUUCUUCUGUAGGAGAGGCACUUUUCAAUUUCAUACACAUCUCCUCAACUAGAUUACAGGCAAGGACAAUGUCUUAGAAACCUGUAUGUUCCCCACAGAGCAUAUAGUGGGGGAUCAUCACAUCAAAGGGUUAUUGUAUUAUUUGAAACUCAGAGUCCAUAAGAAGAGUGAUUGUCUUGUCCCAUAAGCUUUCAUGGCUUUCCAGACAUCCUUUCAUCUUCAUAUCCCAUCAGUGUCUUCCAUUCCCCUGGCAUCUCUCACACCCACCUCUUCAAUAUACAACUAUUGGCCAGGCACAGUGGCUCAUGCCUGUAGUCCCAGCACUUUGGGAGGCUGAGGCGGGUGGAUCACCUGAGGUCAGGAGUUCGACACCAGCCUGGCCAACAUGGUGAAACCCCAUCUCUACUAAAAAUACAAAAAUUAGCUGGGCAUGGUGGUGCACACCUGUAAUCCCAGCUACUCGGGAGGCUGAGGCAGGAGAAUCGCUUGAAUGCAGGAAGUGGCGGUUGCAGUGAGCCAAGAUCACACCACUGCACUCCAGCCUGGGGCAACAGAGCAAGACUCUAUCUCAAAAAAAAAAAAAAAAAAGCAACUAUUUUUAGUUCCCCAAAGAAGCUGCGUGGUUCCCUACAUUUGUGUCUUUAUCAUGCUAUUCCAUCCAGCUAAAUUUCUUUUCUAUCUCCCCAUUCUUGUUCAAGAUACCCUCUAUUCAUCCUUAAGGGCUUAUCUCAUAAAAUAUCUAUGAUAACAUAAGUUUGUUUUGAAGGUCUGGAUGAAGAUGAACUGAAAUGUUAAUAGUGCUUAUUUUGGGGUUUGGGAUUAAGUUUUUUUUAACAAUUUUCUUCUUCAUACUCUUUGUUUUCUAAUCUUUAUAAUGCAUGCAAGUAGGAAAAAGGACUCUUCCACCUGGUAUCCAGGGGGCCUGAGGUCAUACAGACACAUCCACUGAACACAUUUGUACUGAGCGCCUACUCUGUACUAGGCAGUAAAGAUUCAACAGAGAAAAAAAAUGUUGUGGUCCCUGGAUUCAUGGAGCUUAUGGUUAGCUCAUAAGGUGUUUUCAAAGCAAAGCAGUGAGUGCUGGACAUUUGAGUGCUGGAGUGGGAGGUUGAAACUGUUGUCCCUUCUGUUUUCCCUCCACUCCCCAUGGAAGUGUAUUUUACUCUUUGUGGGUUUUUUUUCCUGUGUAACAGCCACUCUAAUAAUAUUGUUGUGAUACCCAUUUUCAAACAAAAUUGACCAACUGGCUCUCAGAAUUUUGUUUUGUUUUGUUCUGAAAUACUACAUUUAAGGACCACAUAUACAUGAUAGCAUUUUCUCCCUCCUGUUUCUUGGAGCAGGUCUCUGGUUCCAGCAUUAUGUGCUGACUUUUGAAUAGGUUUUAAAAAUGUGGAUCAUUUCACCCGAUACCUUGCCCCCGACCCAGGCUAUACACCAUUAAAAUGAACCUGGACCACAUCAUCUAGGGAGAUUCCUGGGAGACAACAGCAUUAAAUCUGACCCCCUCCCCCCAGAAAAGUAGGAUGGGAGAGGAUUUAAUACUUACAGGAACUUUAGGAGGGGGAGCUCUUUGAGGGCAUCAGGGUCUAUGUAAGUUAAGUUCCUGGUAUUCCGAAUUUCUCUGUAUAAGUUACAAGGAACACAGUCACUAUAAUGCAUCCGUAUCUGUUCUUAUCAAAGACAAAACAACAUAAAUCAGUUUUAACAAACGUUCAUGAGAAAAAUAUGCAUUUACGCCACAGGGUACCCCAGGGGCUGUAGCUGCCAGGGGUCCCAUCAAUGACAAACUACUCCUGUCUCCUCACGGGGACCCAAUGGCUGCUCAGCUCUUUUGCAUUGUUGGCUUGGUUUCUGUCCACUUUAAUUUAUGGGCUACAUUGUUCUUAAUUGUAGUAUCAGAAUUUUUUUUCUUUUACAUUUAGAGAAAAAAGAAAAAUCCCUCCAAUGAUUUGGUGAGGAGUUGAAGACAAAUAUCUUUAUUAUUUAUAAGUAUUCUGGCCAAGACAAUGAGUGUUGGAGUGGGAGGAUGAGGGAAUUUUAUGAUGAACGACAGCACAGCAAGAUGGACAGUAAGGCUCUGUCAUUGCCAUACCAGAUGUACAGAAGUGGUAAGUCUUCACAGUUCACUUGGGUUUAUUUUGUCAUGUCAGCAAUCGAAGACACUUCUGCAUGUAUAGUGCAAUAUCGUGUGUCAGUAACUUACAUACUUAGGUUUAUAUAAAUGCUGAUCAAGAAUGCACAGUUAGCAUUAGAGAAAUAAGUAACUGCUAGAAAUGAACUCUCACUGGUUAAAUUAAACAUAUUCAACAUAGGUUGAUUGGCUAAAAGAGUUUAAGGCAUUCCCUAUGCUUACAUGAAAAGUAUAUAAGAACCCAGUAAACCUUUAGCAUUUCUCCUUAGGAGUGGCACCUAAAAGAACCAGCAUCUAGUCAUUGGUGGUACCAGUCAGAAAGCUUAGAAUGUGACCUCUGUAAUUUUUAAAGUUUUAUUGAAAAAGAAUUUACAUUCCAUAAACUUCAAACAUUGUAUGUAGGCAUACAGUUCAAUGAUUUUUAGUAACAUUACAUGAUUUUGAAACCAUCAUCACAGGUUAGAACAUUUCUGUCAAUGACAAAAGUAACCAUAGGCCCAUCUGCAGUUAGUCUCCACUUGCUCCUUUAUGCCUAGAAACCACUGAUCAGUUUUCUUUCUUUAUAAAUUUGCCUUAUCUGGACAUUUCAUAUAAAUGGAAUCAUAUAACAGGCAGUCUUUUGUGUCUGCCUUCUUUCAUUUAGCAUAAUGUCUGUGAGGUUCAUCCAUGUUGUAACAUGAAUUAGUAGUUCACUCCUUUUUAUUUCUGAAUAGCCCAGAUGGACUCGAAAUAGAGUCUUGGCUCUGCCACUUCUGAUUAUAUGACCUUGGACAAGUUUCUUGGCCUCUUUGAGCCAUAGUUUUCCUGUCUGUAAAAUAGGAACAAUUAACAACACCUCUUUUGUGGGGCUUUUGUGAGGAUUAAAUAAUAUUCAUGAGGGAUUUUAUGUUUGGCCUCCACAUAGUUAGGGCUCUAAAAUAAUGCUUUUAUUAUUGUUAUUUUCAUAAGUGCAAUGAAAGCUAGAAGAGACAUCAGGGACUUGGGACUGGAGAUGUUGUGACAUUCUUGCAAAAUUAGAAAAAACUCUCUGGUUUUUUCAACUAGGCAUUUCAACUAAGGACACUGAAUAUGAAACAGACCUUGGAAAAGAGAGGAUGGAGUUAACUCUGAGAACAGAAAUCACCUACCUCUCUCCUCCCUAAACACACAGCUUACUGUCUAUAAUAAUAUACCCUUACUGGUCCAUUGUCCUCAUUAACAUAACUACAAUUCCAGGAGACUCUUGCCCAGGCAAAUUGCUUUAUUGUUCAUUACAGAGAGUUUUUGAAACAAAGAACCAUCAAUGCUUCAACAGAAAGCAUCAACAGUUUAUACCCCAAGAUCUUAGAACUCCUCACUUCCAAAUCCUCACUAUGCUAAUCCUAAACUAUUAUGUCAUGAUUUUUACCUAAACAAGACCCUGCAUGGAAAGAUCCUCUUUAUACAAUCUUUCAUUUUUUUGUCCUGGCUUUAAAAUGCAAAGCCCAUAUCCUUGGAAUUCCCUCUGUCUUGGGCAAAGUGUGACAGUUGGCCACCCUACUCCAAAAUCUCAUAAUUUUCCCACCUUGCCCCUCUAGAGACUAUCAAUCUCUGUUGAGGUGGUUCUCUCUUUCCAGGGUGAGCAAUAAACUCCUUGCCAGAGCUUUCCAUUGGGGGAGGAGGGUUUGAACUACUGCCAGAGACAAACAGAUGUAAACUAGAUGCAGGAGUUUGGAAAUUGAGCAGGGUUUGCAGUCUGGAAAAUUGCUCCACAAGAGACUGUCGUUGAACGAGUAGUCCUGAGUGAGUGGUCUAAGAGAACGUCAGAGUGAAAGAAAAUGCAGCCCACCUGGGUCAGCUGAAAAGGUAGAGAAUAAAAGGGAAAUGAAAUGCAGCUGCUAGUAACAGUUGAUUAAAUGAGGCUGGCAACUUACAUGGAGGCUGGAAGAGGAGAAAUGUGGGAGAGGCAGCAAGGAGAGAGAAGGAAACAUGAAGGAGGAGAAGAUUUCUAGAAGGAAAUGUAAGAGCUACAAAGGAGAAAGAUGAAUGAGAGACCCCACAAGAAAACAGCAGGGAAAAGAAGCUGCUUUCUGAGGUAAGGCAACAGCUUACCACUUGCUCACAAGUGACUUUUGAAAAGUAUCUCCUGAAGCAGAGAAGGGGUGGAGUGGUCGUAGACUGCCAGUAGUUUAGCUAAAUGGUGAGAGAUAACAGCUGGGUGUGGUGGCGCAUGCCUGUAAGCACUUUGGGAGGCCGAGACAGGUGGGAGGCCGAGGCAGGUGGAUCAGUUGAGGUCAGGAGUUCAAGACCAGCCUGGGCAACGUGGUGAAACCCUGUUUUUACUAAAAAUGCAAAAAUUAGCCGGGUGUGGUGGCUUAUGUCUGUAAUUCCAGCUAUUUGGGAGGCCAAGACAUGAGAAUCGCUUGAACGCAGGAGGCAGAGGUUGCAGUGAGCUGAGAUUGUGCCACUGCACUCCAUCCUGGGCGAAAAAGCAAGACUCUGUCUCAAUCAAUCAAUCAAUCAUUAAAUAGAGAGGUAACAUAAGAAGCAAAUGCAACUAGUAAAACCUAUUCAAAGAUAGGAAGAAAGGAAGGGCAGAAGUGAGUACAAAAGAACAUCUAAUCAGAGAAGGGUGAAAGAGGCGUUCAAAUUUGAAUGCCUUCAAGCAUGCCUCUGAGGGUGAAUUUGAAUCACACCAUUUUGAGUUAAGCAAUUAUGGCCUGAGUGUGCAGGAGGCUAGCUAUGCUGCCAGAAAGCUGGAGACAUUGGAAGAAAGAAAAGCUGUUUGUAAUACAGCACACUAGGAAUGGAGAUGCCCUCCAGAGCUGAAGAUGGCUGUGCCUCCAGCAACCUGAGGCCCUGAGUGACUGCCUGAAGGUGGCUGCUCUGUGCUCCCACUCAUCCAUCCAGUACUCUCCCAUGAGCAAGCAGUAAACCUCACUCACUAAGGGCUGUUACAUGUCUGUAUUUUUGUCUAUUUCUUAUAGUAAUUCACCUACCCAAACUAAUAAGCAUAAAUAAAAUUCCAAAAAUAUAGAGUACUCUGUUCAUAGUGGUCACAUCUAGCAGAUAGGUUUAAAAAGAAGGAAUGUGGAAUUUUCACUUUUUAUUUUAUCUAAAUAAAAAAAAGUAAUAAAGAGGAUGCAAAAAAUCUCAAACUUUAAAAACAAAAAAGUAAAGCUUUAUAUAUUCUCUAUAAAAAAUAACAUUAAAAUAUGUGCCAGAUAUGCUGCUUAAGUAUGCUGUUUUAUGGAGCGAGGCUCUUUUUCUUUGUUGGGGAAAUAUGCAAGGCUCUUAAAGCGUAUUGAUUAGAAAAAUUCAGCUUUGGAAGAUGAUAUGGUCUGGCUCUGUGUCCCCACCCAAAUCUCAUCUUGAAUUGUAACCCCAGUUGUAAUCUCCAUGUGUUGGGAGAGGGACCUAAAUCUCAUCUUGAAUUGUAAUCCAAAUUGUAAUCCCCACGUGUUGGGGGAGGGACCUCGCGGGAGGUGAUUAGAUCACAGGGUGCUUCCCCCAUGCUGUUCUCGUGAUAGUGAGUGAGUUCUCAUGAGAUCUGCUGGUUUUAUAAGGGGAUCUACCCCACUUUGCUCUGCAUGUCUCUUUCCUGCUGCCAUGUGAGAAAGAACCUGUUUGCUUCCCCUUCUGUCAUUAUUGUAAGUUUCCUGAGGCCUCCCCAGCCAUGCAGAACCGUGAGUCAAUGAAACCUCUUUCCUUUAUAAAUUACCCAGUCUCAGGUAUUUCUUCACAGAAGCAUGAAUACAAAUUAAUACAGAAGAUUAAAGGGUAAAAAGAAACAGUGUACUUUUUUUUCACCUGAGGGAGGGUGUGAAUUUCCUCCUAGUGAGGGAGCAACAUAACUGACUCGUGUGAUGCAGGUAAGGAUCAUCCUGAUUUUGCAGACAAAACUAUGGAGACAUGUUUUGAAAGGGCAAGUGAAUAAUCUCCUGUUAUACACUUAGCAGCAACACUGGGCCUUUAUCUAGGACUUAUGACUUCAAAUACAGCCUUUUUUUUUUUUUUAAAUGAGGUUUCAAGGAAAUCAUCCAGCAGAACUAAAAAUAUAUGUAAAUAUUCAUUGUCUAAUUCUCCUUCAUUAGAUUUCAAAUGAAAUAAACAUUUAGAUGAAAAGUGUAACAUUGCUGUCCAAUGGCAGUUUUCACAAAUCAACAGAUCAAUAAUUCAGCAUGCAGUUAGGUUCACUUAAUCACAUGUCUACAUUCUGGGUUUUUUUUCUUCCCCUAAGAAACAUUGAUUAAUUCUCAAUAAAAGCGUAGCACAGGACAUCUGGCUUUCCCGUUACGACUAGCAUUGCAGCAGGCACUCAGUCCCUGAGUCCACACCUCAAAGAGUAUAUGGGAAAUCAGCAGGAUGAGAGAAGGGAGUUCUCAGGCGAGGGAAUGAGGAA